rnacentral:rRNA from 1 species
UGAUGCAUUCAACGAGCCUAUCCUUGGCCGACAGGCCCGGGUAAUCUUUGAAACUGCAUCGUGAUGGGGAUAGAUUAUUGCAAUUAUUAAUCUUCAACGAGGAAUGCCUAGUAAGCGCGAGUCAUCAGCUCGCGUUGAUUACGUCCCUGCCCUUUGUACACACCGCCCGUCGCUCCUACCGAUUGGGUGUGCUGGUGAAGCGUUCGGAUUGGCGUUAGUGGGCGGUUUUCCGCCUCCUCUCGCUGAGAAGUUCGUUAAACCCUCCCACCUAGAGGAAGGAGAAGUCGUAACAAGGUUUCCGUAGGUGAACCUGCGGAAGGAUCAUUG